AUUGUAAGAGAAGAUCUGAAAUCUAUUGGGCCCCAUAAGAAAUAAGUUGAGAACAUGAGAAUUACUAUUCACAAGGUAGUAUUCAAACGAGCCUAAUUCACUGCAGUUCUCUUGAUUUUAGCAUACAGUUACAAGGUGGUAUUCAAUUCAACCACACAAGAUUUUUGAAUACAAAUACAUCGCAGCAGUCAGAUAGACCACAGAAUCUGGGACCCCUUGCAAACCAAGAUUUCUUUCUUGCAGAGAAAAAAAGUAAAAACCCACAACAGUCUGGUGGAGGAGUAUUUCGUCAAAUGUUAAAAUAUGUAUAUUAAUCCAUUAAUUGCAGGAAAUGACAAAAUCAUCAAAACAAAUGAAAAGUGAUCCCUGAGAAACAACCAAACCAUAGCAAACUUAAGCUGAUUAGAACUUAUAUGCCAGAUGAUAUGUUGUGCAUCCAGCAUCCACAUGACAGAUAUUAAAUGCACAAAACUCUCGUUAACAAAAGUUGGCUCAACGGACAUAAUGAAAUCCAAUGGAGCUAUUUGAAAAGUAUGCUAAAAAAUAAUUUAUCUAAACAAUUGAAGAAAAACCCAUUAAUCUUGACGAAGGAAUUGGACGUAGAACAAAUCGAUAAAAAAAAAAUGAAUAGAAUCAUUACCAAGAAAAUCGUAAUCGAAUAACAAACAACUUAAAGCGCAUAAAUUUAAGACAGUAGCGGAUUAAUAUAUAUGGAUAAAAAAGAAUACCAGAAGGGUUGCGAUAGGAAGGUGCUCCAACGGAAGUGAAGAUGAAUCGAGAAGGCAAGUAGUGGCGGGGCUGAUGGUGGGUAAAAGUGGCGAAACGGGAGGACCUGAAACAGGUUGCGCGCCAUGUGGAUCUCAGUAACACCAUCUUCCCCAUUUUUUGUUGGGAAGGAUAGGUGAACAGAAGCAGUGACCGCUUGCUUCUCAGAAAGCAA
rnacentral:misc_RNA from 1 species